CCUACGGGAGGCAGCAGUGAGGAAUAUUGGUCAAUGGGCGGGAGCCUGAACCAGCCAAGCCGCGUGAGGGAAGAAGGUACAGCGUAUCGUAAACCUCUUUUGUCAGGGAACAAAGGCGGGGACUAGUCCCCGGAUGAGGGUACCUGAAGAAAAAGCAUCGGCUAACUCCGUGCCAGCAGCCGCGGUAAUACGGAGGAUGCGAGCGUUAUCCGGAUUUAUUGGGUUAAAAGGGUGCGCAGGCGGCCUGGUAAGUCAGCGGGAAAAGCCCGGGGCUCAACCCCGGCGAGCCGUUGAAACUGGCGGGCUGGAGUUGGAGAGAAGUACGCGGAAUGCGCGGUGUAGCGGUGAAAUGCGUAGAUAUCGCGCAGAACCCCGAUUGCGAAGGCAGCGUACCGGCUCCACACUGACGCUGAGGCACGAAAGCGUGGGUAUCGAACAGGAUUAGAUACCCGGGUAGUC
rnacentral:rRNA from 1 species